rnacentral:lncRNA from 1 species
GGGAAUCAGAGAAGGCAGUUGAGAGGGGGACCAGAGAAAAGAAAUGGUGUGGAGAAGCCUGGGGCUCCUGCUCUUGGUCUAGGUUCCUUUGCAGACUCUGCAUCUCAGAGAGGGAUGCUAACUUUGGAUCUGAACUGACUCCUGGCCUGGGGUGUGUUUCUUGCUUCCUUCCUUCAGAAUCCUCAUCCAGUGGCCAUCCAGCUCCCGACCCCCAUAGAAUUUCCAUGGAAAACUUGGGUUUGGAUGAAGACCUACUAUUGUUUUUUGGAGCCUCCAGCACAGAACUGGGCAACCUCCAGACAGCACUUCGGAGCAGGAGCCCCGCUCUGCCUACCAAGCCAGACUGUGAAAGCCACAAUCUUCAAGAAUGCUCCGCCUCUGCUAUUAGUCUUGAGGCAUUUCACCCAAAGAGCCAAGUUUAAAAGCUAAAAUAUUCCGAGCCUCUCACUCUUCCCUCCCAUCCUAGGAGCAGGCUGUGGAUUUGAUGCAUCCAUCAUCUGUCUUAUGUUGUUCAACUGUAAAUUAAAAAAGAAAAAGAUAAUUUUAAUGCAUAAGCCCUUCCUCGCAUAAGUUGAAUCAUUACAGAAAUUAUUUUAU